rnacentral:rRNA from 1 species
AUUGAACGCUGGCGGCAGGCCUAACACAUGCAAGUCGAGCGGAUGAAGGGAGCUUGCUCCUGGAUUCAGCGGCGGACGGGUGAGUAAUGCCUAGGAAUCUGCCUGGUAUUGGGGGAUAACGUCCGGAAACGGGCGCUAAUACCGCAUACGUCCUGAGGGAGAAAGUGGGGGAUCUUCGGACCUCACGCUAUCAGAUGAGCCUAGGUCGGAUUAGCUAGUUGGUUGGGUAAAGGCCUACCAAGGCGACGAUCCGUAACUGGGCUGAGAGGAUGAUCAGUCACACUGGAACUGAGACACGGUCCAGACUCCUACGGGAGGCAGCAGUGGGGAAUAUUGGACAAUGGGCGAAAGCCUGAUCCAGCCAUGCCGCGUGUGUGAAGAAGGUCUUCGGAUUGUAAAGCACUGUAAGUUGGGAGGAAGGGCAGUAAGUUAAUACCUUGCUGUUUUGACGGUACCAACAGAAUAAGCACCGGCUAACUUCGUG